GCUCCGCGCCGCUGGGCUGUAGGCCCCGAAGCCGCCCGCAGCCCGAGGCCGGGACCCGGCGCACGGGACCGUGGCACCGCCCUGUUGGAAAGGAGUCCCGGCAGCCACGGGUGGCCCAGGCCGUGUCCCCGUCCCAGAAGAGCGGGGUUUGCCCCAGUCCAGCAGACUUCGGAGCCCGCUAAGGCCUAGCGGGGGCGAGAGGGAGCGCCUGCAAGCCCAGGGGAAAGGACGUGGCUGGAUCGGAGUUCUGGGUCCUGGUAGGAACAUAGGGCCGACUUGGCAGGGAAGAGGAUAGGGGAGCCAAGACCCUGCUGGAGAGACUCUCCUGGGGUCCCAGAAUCCAGGCCUCUCCCUCAGUGAGUGGCAAGCCUUUGGUGAGACCCUUGAUGCUCUUCUCCUGCCUAAAAUCCACACAGAUGUGAGGCGCACUCUUCCAAGGUAAAAACUCCUGACUCCCAGCCCCCAAGAAUCCUUCACUGCGCUCUGCGAGGGAGAGAGCCCCUUACCCCCUGCCUAUAGCCUGCCUCCAGCAGAUCAGAGCAUCAGGCCCUGCGGUAAACGUUAGCUUAAGCGUGAUCUGCCGCUGAGCCUAUCUCUCCAGGUGAACCAAAGAGGACAUGCAAAGGAUUUCUUUUCGCGGAAGCCAAAAAUCUGGAUUGUACCCCUAGGGCUGCGUGGAUGGGCUGGGCUGGGCUGUGGGGGCAUAUAUAGCAGAAACAAUGAUCUGUGAAUGGGUCCCAUCGCAGAACUGCCUGGAAGGGUGUGUAGGGGAGGAGGGCUGGAUGGGGUGAUGGCUCUUCUCAAGCCUGGAAUGUGAGCCAACAUGAGCACUGAGUGGAAAUGGAGCUGCCCUAGGAAGCAGUUGGAGCUUUGUGGCGUGGGGGCUUCCUGUGAGCUACGGCUGUAGAGACCGAGACCCAAGGACCAGAGCCAACCUUCGGGUUGGGCCACCCCCUUUUGUCUUCUUUAUCUCAGACACACUCUGCUGGGAAACCUGUUUGGGCCAAAGCUGCAUGGGGAAUGGAAGGCAGACACUGAGAACUAGGGCUUCGCCCUUCAAAGUCUCCCCCACCCCAUUUGUUCCCAUGCUAUAGGAAAAAGAAGUCUAAUAAUUGGCAACAAUAAAAAUAAAAAUAGUUAUUAAAGGAAGUAAUCUUCUCUUCUCCCUUCAGUUUGGGAUCCACUAAAGUAAAUGAUAACUAGAUUGCUUAGGUACUUGAGACCCUCAGCUGAGCCCUGUGCCCCACUCUGCAGUGGCCAGGGGAAGGGUAUGGGCCUUUUCAGAUAUUUAGGGGCUUUGAAGGAUGACUGAAACUGCCAGUCAGACCAAGCAGAAUUAUGAGGUCCACUUCAGGGCAUUACCUGUUUCUGAGCUUUUAGGAAGUGUUGGGGACCUUCGGGGAGGGUGAGGUGUCUCAACAAAGGGACAAAUUAACCCCUGCCUCCACCUGGUAGUGAUAGAGGUGAUCUCUUGAUUUUUUAAUUGAAGCUUCAGUGCUGCCUCUGGGCAGCGCCUGGAAAAUGUGAUGGAUUGUCUAUGAUCUGGCAAUAAGCCAUGCCCUGAGAACAAAUACGUGGAGAUCUCCUGGGCCUUCCCAGACAACCCAUCUCCCCUAGCUCACCACAUAAGACAGAUGUGCCCACAGGAACCCUUUGAUUUGGAAGGAGAUAUUCCUGUAAUGGAGAAGAGCUCUGUUGCCAUUUCUACCCGGGGCCUCCGGGCCAGUUCUUGCACCUGUGUGCAGUAUGGUCACCAGGGUUGAAAUACUCUUCUGUGUAGCUUUCUAGAAACAGUGUGACAUUUGUGGACAGAGGAAAGUAAGGGAUUAGGCAAGCAGGAGGAGGCAAAAUAAUGAUGGUGCCCUAAGCAAUCCACCAAGAGAGAAACUUAACUGUAGCCAUCUGGGAGUGAGAUUCAGUCUGUCAAGUGGGUCCUGACCCCUCCCAGGCCUAUCCCAUCUGGGUUGCCCAGCCUAGAAAAGCAGCAGCUGGGUCCGCAGAAGAGAAGGAGGAAGUGUUGGGGAAGAAAGGAGGGUAGAGAAGGGAGGGGAGAGGAAGGGAGAUAAGCCAGACUUGGUGGGGCCUUGAGGUGGAGUAUUCCUAAGAAGGAGGUGGGAGACUCAGUUCAGGCUCUGGUGGAAGCCCGAAGUUGGGGGAGAGUCAGGGACCUAACAGCCCCUCUUCUCUGCGCCUGAGUAUUGGAUGCCCUCCAGUGGCACCUCAGCUGUUGCUCAGUCUAGCAGAGGCAUCAAAAGAGGUAGGGAAGAGACAGGAGGUCCCAGCAGGUGAGAAUGGCUGGAAGGAGGCAGGGCAGGAGACAGGAACUGUAGGGGGGACAGGAGCAGGAUCAGGAACUGUAGAGGGACAGGACCCCCUUGAGAAGGACAGUGGUGACUGGGGCAGCUUGGCAUUGACAUUGAGACUGUGGACAAAUGCUGGGCAUUUAAAGGGCUGCAUGUGCAAGUACUGGGGACUUCGAAUUCUCAGAUUUCUGGGACAAGGAGCAGCUGCUGCCUCCCAAGCCAGCCCCAGGGAGAGAAGAGGGUGGCCCAGCAGCUUUGCCAGUUGGAGCUGGGAAGCCUGGAGUGUGGAGGUGCUCCCGGCCACCCAGCUGUAUCCUCCCUUGGAGUGAGAGGGUGUUAAGCCGCCUGUCAAGUGACGAUCCUUGCAGCUCACGUCCCUUGAAUGACUGUGCUGGAAACGCCCCCAGCACAACAACCUCGGUAACAAGGCCUCGCAUUGCCCGGUGCUCACCGACGGCCUCGAGGCGACCCCGCCUGGGCACUGCCCGCCGGCGCCCUCCCGCUGCCUCCCGGACCAUUCAGGCUGCAAGAAGAAGCGGAGGCGGCAGAGGCGCCUGGACCCACUUUAUUCCGAUAUUCCGCCUGCAAAGGCUGUGGAAAGAAGCGUAAGGCUCAGGGAUGGUAGUCCCCAGAGAGGAGGGUCCCUGAGGCUCUGCGCAAGCCCCCCCUCCCCAACCUUUCGGGCCAAGUCAGACGAAGCCUCGGAAAGGCUGGGUCUGUUUUGCUGACCAAAUCUCCUUGUUAGCCGUUUCCGCCUGACAAGCCUGGCGCAGGCGUUGGCCUUCUCCUCUCCGGGCGGCCACCUCCAAUGCCGCGCGGGGAGCAAUGGGGCCCGGCCCUGCAGAGGGCUGCCUGGACCUUGAAGUUUGGAAAAACAAGAAGAGACUGAGCCGGCUCCCUCCCUUCUCUGCAGACACACACGCACCGUCAGGCCGCCGCCACUUCCUGCCUUUGUUUUUCUUCCUCCAAACAUUUUUUGGCCUCUUGCAUUAGCCGCGGUGGGGCUCUGGGUUGACGAUAAAAGGAAAUACACUCUGAAGACAGUUUUCUGGAGAUGGCCCGCGCUGUGGAGCUCCUGAGAAAGAACAGCUCCUGGGAAGCCAGUCGCCAGGGCCAAUGUCACAGCCUUACGCGCGCCGGCCUCUUCAAGAAAUGGAACUCGGACUUGGCCUUCCGGGGCGGCUUUAGCCUCAGUCGGGUCUUUCCCAGAGCCCGGUGGGCUAAGCUCGGCUGUUGGACCUCCUGCAAAGCGGAAGAGUCAAUCAUAGGCUCAGAGCAAAGUCAAAACCAAGGACCCGAAGGUCUGCCUCCCCUUUUUCCCCUAGAUUUGGUCUGAUCCUCAGAGCUGCGCCCACCCCUCGCCCCAGCCGCCUGCCUGGAGAAACCUUCACAUUCACACCGCCAGCAUAUUCCGAACACGAGGGCAGGAGCGGGCAAAGCUGGGAUAUUGCGCAGCCUUGGGGAGCUGAGUACCCGUCUCCUAUUCCUGCUGGGCAACUAAAAGUGUUCGGCCACUCCAGGCGUUUUCCCUUCUGCUGAUAUCAAAAACCUUUUCCCUCAUCCAUCUUCACGGCAGCGCCCCCACACACCCCCUUCCGGGCGGCAAGUCCCUCCGGGCACUCGGCUUCGGUGCAGCCUGCCGAAUUGCCCUGCCAGCCGCUCCCGGAGCGCCUUUCUCAGCCCCAGCCUUUUCUCCGGAAUUCGCCUUUGUCUCCUGCGGACACCCGUGGGAUCCAGCCCUGCCAGCACCCUCUCGGUUCGGCCCUCGAGGAGGACAUGGGAGGCAGUGGUUAUGCGGAACAGCGCACACCCCCAUACCGACCUUUCUGCCGGGACCGCUCUCCCGGACACCAGGGGAAAACCGAUCUAAUUAAGAGAGGGGCUGCGUGCCGCUGGGGGAGGUGGCCUGGCAUCCCCCGCUGGCGGGCCACCACAACCCCGUCUGCUCAGGCACAAGCUGAAGUUGACUGCCAAAACUGCUAUAAAACCGCAGGUCUGUCUAGAACUGUUUUCGGUUUUCCUAGACGCCCCCGGGUUCAAUUAUGGUCUUAAAAGCCCUAAUACAAGUGCAAGAAUUUGUUUGCCUUCACCCAGGGGCGGGGCGAGCCCCGCAAUGGUGGCGCCUUUGUUAUGGCAAAGUCACUGAAACCCUUCAUGCAUUCCUUUUGUUCGAAGGUAGGGGUGGCGUGGACUGGGUGGGCUGCAGAGAGAGAGCUUGGGAUAGCCAAAAUCAAGCCAGGGAACAGCUCGAAUACCGCUGUUUGAAACCUCUCCUUCUGUCUUUUAUAUUCUGUCUCUAAAAAAGAGAUGCUGUGGAGAAACAAACAUUUUGCCUUGUUGGUCACUGCUGGAAAUAGAAGUUUUUUCGCUGCAGGGCAAUUCUGUAAAUGUGCUUCCCAGCUUUAGGAGGUCUGAGGCUACUCUUCUCCAAUAACCUUCCUUCCCACUGGACCUUCUCACUCACAGCACUGCUGCCCUCUGGACAAGCCACAGUGGACAAAUAUGUCAAGCUGAAGAUGCACAAAUAAUUUCAAGUUCAGUUCUCAGGGAUUCAAAGGACAUGAAAAUUCUUGUAGCAAAUCUUGAAUAAAGAGUU
rnacentral:lncRNA from 10 species